rnacentral:rRNA from 1 species
UGGGGAAUAUUGGACAAUGGGGGGAACCCUGAUCCAGCCAUGCCGCGUGUGUGAAGAAGGCCUUAUGGUUGUAAAGCACUUUAAGCGAGGAGGAGGGUACUGGUAUUAAUACUACCAGCUACUGGACGUUACUCGCAGAAUAAGCACCGGCUAACUCUGUGCCAGCAGCCGCGGUAAUACAGAGGGUGCGAGCGUUAAUCGGAUUUACUGGGCGUAAAGCGUGCGUAGGCGGCUAAUUGAGUCGGAUGUGAAAUCCCCGAGCUUAACUUGGGAAUUGCAUUCGAUACUGGUUAGCUAGAGUGUGGGAGAGGAUGGUAGAAUUCCAGGUGUAGCGGUGAAAUGCGUAGAGAUCUGGAGGAAUACCGAUGGCGAAGGCAGCCAUCUGGCCUAACACUGACGCUGAGGUACGAAAGCAUGGGGAGCAAACAGGA